rnacentral:RNase_P_RNA from 1 species
UAGGGCAAUCGCUGUUUGAAAAGCAGAGGAAAGUCCAUGCUCGCACGAUCUGCGAUGAUCGUAGUGUUUGUGCCGGAUGAAACGAUAAAUCCGGGCAGCGUAAGCUGACGGCUGUGCCUGCUUCCUAAUGGAAACAACGGAAGCAAGCCUGUAAAAGUGCCACAGUGACGAUGCCGGUCGGAAACGAUCGGAGUGGAACGGGUAAACCCCGCAAGCGAGAAACCCAAAUAUAAAAUGGUAGGGGAGCUUCCCGAUCAGCGAAUCAUGAAGCGAAGGGAGGACGUGCAAACGUAGAUAAAUGGUUGCCGCUUCGCGUAUAGCGAAGAACAGAACAUGGCUUACAU